GCGACGGAAUCUUUCGUAACUCCGUCGUGCGGGAAAGUUACGACGAAGUGUAGAUUCACGAAGGGCGCGCGUCGCAAAAUCUUCGCAGCUUACGGCGGAAUCCUGCGAGAGCUCCCGAGCAGUCUUACGAAGAAAGAUGGCGGCGUUAUUUGGCAGCGGUGGACUUGGAGGCGGGAAACAAAGACUCCGUAAUACGCGCGAACGCAUUGCACUUUGCCACAGAACCUUCGAGACCAUCGCCGAAGUGACAUUGAGGCACUUUUUUGCUUGGGAACCUUCAACAAAUGCUUCAACUUUGUGCUCCGUAAAAUCGGGUCGCAGGGAUUUUUCAAGCAUCCCCUACACCCCGCUAAGACACCCCCAACACCCCUCCAAAUUGUGUGCAAGAAAGGCAAAAGAAGCCAUAAAAGCUGCAAAACUGAGUGCUACACACCGUUUACAAAACACCCUCACUCACCCCCUCCCCGAGACGAACAUACUGGGAAUAUAUUUGCUGUGUCAUCGAACGCGUUUCGCCUGUGAUUCCAUGGCAUCCAUUAUGGCUACCGAAAGACCGAGAACACGUGCAGUAACAAAACAUUUGGGGACGAACAACUUCGUCUUCUUCUAACGGGACGACACUUAUUGGUGCGAUUACAAAUUUUCGUCAUCGUUACCAUAGCGAAAACAUAGUCUCGCACCCUUUGGCUGCACCACUGAUCUCGAUUGUAAAAGGCUGGAUGGCGGAUAGGGAGCGCGAGCGUGAAGAAACCGGCCGCCAUCUUACUGUACCCACAACAGUCGCCGCAGCGAUCAUGGCAACUUCUUGCAAUUACGGUCGUACCAACAGUACUGGCAAGGUUACAGGGCCUAAAUUUAUACAGGUUUUGUCAUGAGGGCUACCCAGUGAAUUAUCUGUGCAGUGUGAUACGGCUGGGUGUACAGGUUACUUCACAGCUGCCUCAACAUACUCAAGAAAUGGGUGCAGAACCUGCGUAAUGCCCACAAACUUUGACUACCACAGCACCUCCAUAAAGUAAAGGCAUAUGUGUCACAUGGGAUUUUUAAAGGCAUUCACAGUAUAUAAUACCUUGUAUGAACUGUUGUUGAUCUAAGCAGCCUCUACAGUACACUCUCAGAAAUUAAAACUUGUCAGGGAACUGUGAUAAUUGUUCCAGUUAAUAGGCAUGCAUAUGUACGCUAUAAGAAGAAAAUUAUUUAUUGAGAAUGCACUACUGUUGAUCACACUCGUGCAGCUGUAGGUUUACCUUCGGCCUCUUGGAACUCUUUUUUUUAGUUGCCUUAGCUGCAGGAGGAGUGUCAUCGAGCAUGUCAACUACUUGCAGAAAUAUUGACGUAUUUAAGAUUAUGACACAGUUUGAAGGGU